rnacentral:rRNA from 1 species
GACGAACGCUGGCGGCGUGCUUAACACAUGCGAGUCGAACGGAAAGGCCCUGCUUUUGUGGGGUGCUCGAGUGGCGAACGGGUGAGUAACACGUGAGUAACCUGCCCUUGACUUUGGGAUAACUUCAGGAAACUGGGGCUAAUACCGGAUAGGAGCUACUGCUGCAUGGUGGGGGUUGGAAAGUUUCGGCGGUUGGGGAUGGACUCGCGGCUUAUCAGCUUGUUGGUGGGGUAGUGGCUUACCAAGGCUUUGACGGGUAGCCGGCCUGAGAGGGUGACCGGCCACAUUGGGACUGAGAUACGGCCCAGACUCCUACGGGAGGCAGCAGUGGGGAAUAUUGCACAAUGGGCGGAAGCCUGAUGCAGCAACGCCGCGUGCGGGAUGACGGCCUGCGGGUUGGAAACCGCUUUCGCCUGUGACGAAGCGUGAGUGACGGUAAUGGGUAAAGAAGCACCGGCUAACUACGUG